CCUACGGGAGGCUGCAGUGAGGAAUAUUGGUCAAUGGACGAGAGUCUGACCCAGCCAAGUAGCGUGAAGGAUGACUGCCCUAUGGGUUGUAAACUUCUUUUAUAAAGGAAUAAAACGAGGCACGUGUGCGUUUUUGCAUGUACUUUAUGAAUAAGGAUCGGCUAACUCCGUGACAGCUGCCGCGGUAAUACGGAGGAUGCGAGCGGUGUCCGGAUUUAUUGGGUUUAAAGGGAGCGUAGAUGGGUUGUUAAGUCAGUUGUGAAAGUUUGCGGCUCAACCGUAAAAGUGCAAUUGAUACUGGCAGUCUUGAGUACAGUUGAGGUAGGUGGAAUUCGUGGUGUAGCGGUGAAAUGCUUAGAUAUCACGAAGAACCCCGAUUGCGAAGGCAGCUUACUAAACUGUGACUGACAUUGAUGCUCGAAAGUGUGGGUAUCAAACAGGAUUAGAUACCCGAGUAGUC
rnacentral:rRNA from 1 species